CCUGGGAACGCUGCAGUAUAACUCCUUUGGCUCCACGUAGCCAGAAAGACUCACUAACUUGACUGUGCAGAUGAAGGUUCCCAUGUGUUUCCCUUCUCCUUCGCCCUCUCCAUUUAUCCAUGUGGUUAUACCGAGCCUCACACUGAAAUGGCUUCUAAAGACCAAAGAUUAAAAAAGUGCAAAACAUUCCCUGCGGGGUAUGUAUGUUUGUCUUUGUUAUGUGUCCAUCCGCGCUUCUGCAAAAUCUCCAAACAAGCGCGCCGAGAAAUCCAAUAUCUUUCCAGGGAUUUCCCUUCCCCGAGAGCUAAGUCUGGUGUUUCCUCAGAAGGGUCCUGCAGCCGUAGAGGCAAUACAAAUCUGCGAUUUUUUUUUUUUUCCCCUUUCUUCUCUCGCUGUCAGCCCUCUUCGCGAAACAGUCCCAGCGCAGUGUUUCCUAAUGAUUCCCUUGCGUCGGCAUUACAAGCGAUUGACCGGGAGCAAGUCCUUCCCCAGCUGCAGCAAGACCUUCUGUGGACCAGCGGCUCUGGCGUCCGACUGCGCCUGGGAGGAGAACAGCCCCGGAGCGGAGCAGCCAUCCUCUGAUCAUGCCCCGGAAGAGCCCAGCGCUGGUGGCUUCAGGUGGCUGCCGCCGCCGCUGCUAGUGCUGUUUCCGCCGCUUGUGCGAGGAGCAGAGACCGCCGAGCGGGGAGACUACUGGGCAGCGAGGCAUCGGACAUGUGUCAGCACAUCUGGGGCGCACAUCCGUUGA
rnacentral:lncRNA from 1 species